rnacentral:rRNA from 1 species
CAGCGCCACGAGUGGUGACCACGUUUAUUGGGCCUAAAGCGUCCGUAGCCGGUUUGGUAAGUCUUUUGUGAAAUUGUUCGGCUUAACCGAACAGCGUGCAAGAGAUACUGCCAGACUUGAGACCGGGAGGAGUCAGAAGUAUUCCAGGGGGAGCGGUAAAAUGUUAUAAUCCCUGGAGGACUACCUGUGGCGAAGGCGUCUGACCAGAACGGAUCUGACGGUGAGGGACGAAAGCCAGGGGAGCGAACCGGAUUAGAUACCCGAGUAGUCC